rnacentral:rRNA from 1 species
GAUCAUGGCUCGGGACGAACGCUGGCGGCGUGCCUAAUACAUGCAAGUAGAACGCUGAAGGAGGAGCUUGCUUCUCUGGAUGAGUUGCGAACGGGUGAAUAACGCGUAGGUAACCUGCCUGGUAGUGGGGGAUAACUAUUGGAAACGAUAGCUAAUACCGCAUAAUAGCAGUUGUUGCAUGACAACUGUUUGAAAGGUGCAAUUGCAUCACUACCAGAUGG